rnacentral:tRNA from 1 species
CGCGCCGUACCCAAGACGGCAAGGGAGCGGUUUGCAAAGCCGCAUACACAGGUUCGAGUCCUGUCGGCGCGUCCA